ACUGCAUCGCCCCCUAAAUCUCCUCUUUUCAGCCAAACUCCUCGUCCACUUUUCCCCCGGACCACUCUCAUCAUCGGCGACUCCAUCACAAGAAACGUCCGGUUCUUCAACGCCUUGAGGCACUGUUUUCCCGGUGCAUCUGUGCAGUCCAUACUGACAAAACUCCCAGACAUUCUAAAAUCACUCCCCCCAUCCGUCCACAGAAUUAUUGUCCACGUCGGUUGUGUCGAUGCCUCCCGUCGACACUCUGAAAUCACAAAAAUUAACUUUACUGCACUUUUUCACCUCCUCAAAAACACCGGAAAAACCAUUUUCGUCAGUGGCCCACUCGCACCUCUCAGCAGUGGAUAUGGACUUUUUAGCCGUAUCCUCUCCCUCCACAGCUGGCUUCAGUCUACCUGUAACUCCAAACUGCUCCACUUCAUCAGUAACUUUGAUCUUUUCUGGAACCGCAAACCACUUUUCAAACAGGACGGUCUACACCCAAACAUGCUAGGAAGUAGGAUUUUAACAGCCAACAUUCAACAUGCAGUUCACAACCAUCCAACAUGCGAUUGACUAUUGACAUUCCAAACCUGGAAACUGCCCCCUUCCUCUACGGUCCCCACGCACACACACCUCACCACUCAUUGCUCCACCAACAGGCCCCAACUGGUACUGCACACCAAUCCCAUCGCCGCCACUACAGCAAGCUCCCCCUCCCGCCCCAAACAGCUCCACCAACAGGCCCCAGGAUCUCGUCACAGCUUCUUCAUUCAAAUAAUUACAACUACUGGAUCCUCCCUUCAAAACACCCGCUCCCUCAGUAACAAAGGACACAUCCUGGCUGACUUCAUAACAGAUAAUAACCUGGACUUCCUCUGCCUAACUGAAACCUGGCACAACCAUCUUGAUGUCUUUCCACUCAACCAAGCCACGCCCCCCGGAUACUCCUACCUGCACCAACCCCACCUCACUGGCAAGGUGGUGGCGUCGCAUUCAUCCACAAACAGACCUUCAAGACCACCCCCGUCCCCACCUCGUCUGUCCACUCAUUUGAAAAUAUUUCCGUCAAACUCCCCGGCCCCACCACUCUGGUCAUUACACCAACUACCGCCCUCCAAAGCCCCACCCAUCAUUCCUCUCUGAUUUCUCUGACUUUGUCACCCACCUAAGUACAAUCUCAUCCUCUGUCCUGCUGCUUGGAGACUUCAACUUUCACACUGACAACCCCACCUGCAAACAAGCAUAUCCACCAUUUCUCCACCAUCAACCUCUAUAUAUCUGACCACCUGGCUGUCACUUUCAGCGUCCAGACCCCCCCCCCAUGCUUCACAGUGAAAAACGACACAUCUCCUUCAGAAACCUCAAAUCCAUCUCGCCUCAGGACCUCUCUGCUUCCUUAUCUGCCACCCUCACUGUAUCCCCUCCUCCCCUCCCCCACCAUCUGCUAAACUUGCUGACCUACUCAACUACUACAAUAACACUCUAUCCUCCUGCCUGGAUCAGUUCGCACCUCUCAAAACAAGAACAGUUUCAUUCAGACACUCUGCCCCCUGGUUUACCUCAGAACUGCACAAAAUGAAAUCACACAAACGCCAACUGAAACGUCUCUACCGCAAAACCGGCCUCACCGUCCAUCUCCAAGCCUACACUGACCAUCUCCACCUGUACAGAACAGCCCUCAACUCCGCCCGUUCUUCCUAUUACUCCAACCUCAUCCACUCCGGCUCCAGUAACCAAAAGGCUCUUUUCUCCAUGGUCAAAAAACUGCUCAACCCCAUAGACAGCAUCUCCAUCACCUUCACCCCGGAAAAGCGCAACUCAUUCCUCUCCUUUUUCCACCCUAAAUCAACACAAUCUACAACUCCCUUCCCCCACCCUCCAUUCCCAGCUACUCCCCUCCUCCCCUCAUCCCAUCAGCACUCUCCCGCUUCUCACCUGUUUCUCCAACCGACGUGACCGACAUCAUCUGCUCCAUGUCAUCAUCCACCUGCAACCUGGAUCCCAUCCCAUCCUCCCUCAUUAAGCACUGCCUCCCCGUCAUCUCUCCCAUCAUCACACAGAUCAUCAACUCCUCCCUCAACUCCGCCACUGUUCCCCCUUCACUCAAACUGGCCACUGUCACCCCCAUCCUUAAAAAAACCUGGACUCAACCCUGACGACAUCAACAACUUCCGGCCCAUCUCCAACCUCCCUUUCCUGGCGCAAAUCCGUGUCAACGUGUCAUUGCAUCACAAAUCAAAGCCCACCUCAACAAUAACAAUCUUUACGAACUGUUUCAAUCAGGAUUCCGCACCCACCACAGCACCGAAACUGCCCUCAUCAAAGUCACCAAUGUCCUCCUCAUUUCUGCUAACUCCAGACAACUCUCCAUCCACAUCCUCCUUGACCUCGCCGCCGCUUUUGACACCAUCGACGAUGCCAUCCUCCUGUCCCGCCUACACUCCCUCCUCAAUAUCACAGACACCGCUCUCAACUGGAUCCACUCAUAUCUCACAGACCGGAAUCACUUUAUCCACAUCAACAACUGCUCCUCCACAACUGCCCCCGUGUCCCAAGGUGUCCCCCAGGGUUCGGUGCUUGGUCCCCUCCUCUUCAUCAUCUACCUCCUCCCUCUUGGCCACAUCCUCCGUCAACACAAUCUCCACUUCCACUGCUAUGCUGAUGACAUUCAAUUGUACAUCUCUUCCACCUCCAUCACCCCCCAGACCCAACACUCCCCCUCAAACUGCCUCUCUGAUGUCAAACACUGGAUGGACAGCAACCUAUGACAAAAAACUAUGACAAAACAGAUCUCCUCAUCAUCGGCCCAAACUCCCUCACCUCCACAGUCACAGACUUUCAUCUCUCCAUUGACAACUCCACCCUCUCCCCCUCCCCUAGGGUUCCCAACCGUACCGUAAAAAACGGGAUCGUACCGUAUUUGAAAACAAAAAGACAUGUCCCAUAAUGAACUAAAACGUGACGCUCCUUGUGAUGUUUUAGUUUGUAAUAUUUUAAGGAGGUUAUAUAAUUAAGGUUAACUGUAAUAAAGUGUUUGCACUUUGACUUCUUGAAUAAGUCAAACAUUGUUUCAAUAUGGUGACAUUGCACCAUAUGUUCCAUGAAGAAUUAUUAUUAUUUUGCACACAAUAAAUUCUUCAAUGAUACAUUGAUAAUGUUUCUUGUGUAGUCUGUCUAUAAAUUAAGGUUUAAUUUAUGGUUAUGUUUGUGUACAUGCCUUGGGUCGCUUAUUCUAGUUGCAUUUACUUUAUCUAAUUGCAUUUACUUGGUUUAUGAAUAGGACUUGGUGUAACAUAUUAGGCAUGAUGAUUGUAUAACUGUGACUAUUAUUUUUUUUGUAUGCACAUAUCCCCACAUUUCUCGGCCUGAAAUAAGGGACACCCAAAUUUUAUGAGGGACACCAAAAAAUUUUCGGCAGAUUAACUGUCCCUUUUCUCAAUCUCUUGGAGUUGGCAACCCUACCCUCCCCCCACUGUCGCAACCUUGGUAUUCUCUUCGACAGCAACCUCUCCUUCACCUAGCACGUCAAGCAAAUCACCAAAACAGCCUACUACCACCUCAAAAACAUUGCCCGCCUCCGCCCCUCCCUCUCCUACCCUGCAGCUGAAACCCUCAUACAUGCAUUCAUUUCAUCUCGUCUAGAUUAUUGUAACAGUCUCCUCCAUUGCACUACCUCCACUCUCCUCAAUAAACUUCAGCUCAUCCAGAACUCUGCCGCCCGUCUCCUCACCCAUACACGCUCCCACCAACACAUCGCCCCCGUCCUCCAGAACCUUCACUGGCUCCCCAUCCCCCAUCGCAUUCAGUACAAAAUCCUCCUUCUCACCCACAAAGCAGUCCACAACCAGGCC
rnacentral:lncRNA from 1 species